rnacentral:pre_miRNA from 1 species
CAUUUGCGCCUCGCGUUCAUCGGUGACUUUAGUGAUAACUGCUUAACUAAGGCACGCGGUGAAUGCCAGUUGCGAUUGC